rnacentral:rRNA from 1 species
UACAGAGGUCCCAAGCGUUGUUCGGAUUCACUGGGCGUAAAGGGUGCGUAGGUGGCGAGGUAAGUCGGAUGUGAAAGCUCGGAGCUCAACUCCGAAAUGGCAUUGGAAACUACCUUGCUCGAGGGUUGGAGGGGGGACUGGAAUUCUCGGUGUAGCAGUGAAAUGCGUAGAUAUCGAGAGGAACACCAGUGGCGAAGGCGAGUCCCUGGACAACACCUGACACUGAGGCACGAAAGCUAGGGGAGCAAACAGG